AUAUAUAUAUAUAUCACGCUGAGAGCGCCGGUUCUCGUCCGAUCACCGAAGUAAAGCAACGUCGAGCCUAGUGAGUACUUAGAUGGGUGACCGCUUAGGAAACCUAGGUACUGUAAGCA
rnacentral:rRNA from 1 species